CAUCGAGGGCAGCGAUGGCGUCAUCCAGUUCCUCCUGCGACGCCAUUGUCACGAAACCGAAGCCUCGUGAGCGCCCAGUGUCUCUGUCGUAGACGACCCUGGCAUCGACCACUUUGCCAUGCUCGCUGAACAGCUCCACCAACCUAGAGUCGUCCACUUGCCAUGGCAGGUUGCCCACAUAGAUCCUGAAUGAAGACCCGGAAUCACGGGGAGGCCUUUCCACCCGGGCGCCUCUAG
rnacentral:lncRNA from 1 species